rnacentral:rRNA from 1 species
CCUACGGGGGGCAGCAGUGGGGAAUAUUGCACAAUGGGCGCAAGCCUGAUGCAGCCAUGCCGCGUGUGUGAAGAAGGCCUUCGGGUUGUAAAGCACUUUCAGCGGGGAGGAAGGCGGUGAGGUUAAUAACCUCAUCGAUUGACGUUACCCGCAGAAGAAGCACCGGCUAACUCCGUGCCAGCAGCCGCGGUAAUACGGAGGGUGCAAGCGUUAAUCGGAAUUACUGGGCGUAAAGCGCACGCAGGCGGUCUGUCAAGUCGGAUGUGAAAUCCCCGGGCUCAACCUGGGAACUGCAUUCGAAACUGGCAGGCUAGAGUCUUGUAGAGGGGGGUAGAAUUCCAGGUGUAGCGGUGAAAUGCGUAGAGAUCUGGAGGAAUACCGGUGGCGAAGGCGGCCCCCUGGACAAAGACUGACGCUCAGGUGCGAAAGCGUGGGAAGCAAACAGGAUUAGAUACCCUUGUAGUC